UGGGGAAUAUUGCGCAAUGGGGGAAACCCUGACGCAGCGACGCCGCGUGCGGGAAGGAGGCCUUCGGGUCGUAAACCGCUUUCAGCAGGGAAGAAGCCUGACGGUACCUGCACAAGAAGCCCCGGCUAACUACGUGCCAGCAGCCGCGGUAAUACGUAGGGGGCGAGCGUUAUCCGGAUUCAUUGGGCGUAAAGCGCGCGCAGGCGGCUCUUCAAGCGGAACCUCUAACCCCGGGGCUCAACCUCGGGCCGGGUUCCGAACUGGAGGGCUCGAGUGCGGUAGAGGCAGGCGGAAUUCCCGGUGUAGCGGUGGAAUGCGCAGAUAUCGGGAAGAACACCGAUGGCGAAGGCAGCCUGCUGGGCCGGCACUGACGCUGAGGCGCGAAAGCUAGGGGAGCGAACAGG
rnacentral:rRNA from 1 species